rnacentral:rRNA from 1 species
CCUACGGUAGGCAGCAGUGAGGAAUAUUGGUCAAUGGCCGUAAGGCUGAACCAGCCAAGUAGCGUGAGGGAAGACUGCCCUAUGGGUUGUAAACCUCUUUUAUGCGGGGAUAAAGGUGUCCACGUGGGGAUGUUUGCAGGUAACGCAUGAAUAAGGACCGGCUAAUUCCGUGCCAGCAGCCGCGGUAGUACGGAAGGUCCGGGCGUUACCCGGAUUUAUGGGGUUUAACGGGCGCGUAGGCCGGUCUUUAAGCGUGCCGCGAAAUUUUGUGGCUCAACCAGGAGAGUGCGGAGCGAACUGGAGACCGUGAGUGCGCGGAAGGCAGGCGGAAGUCGUGGUGUAGCGGUGAAA